rnacentral:rRNA from 1 species
GAUCCUGGCUCAGGAUGAACGCUAGCUACAGGCUUAACACAUGCAAGUCGAGGGGCAGCAUGAACUUAGCUUGCUAAGUUUGAUGGCGACCGGCGCACGGGUGAGUAACACGUAUCCAACCUGCCGAUGACUCGGGGACAGCCUUUCGAAAGAAAGAUUAAUACCCGAUGGCAUAGUUCUUCCGCAUGGUAGAACUAUUAAAGGAUUUCGGUCGUCGAUGGGGAUGCGUUCCAUUAGGUUG